rnacentral:rRNA from 1 species
AGCAGUCGCCGCGGUAAUACAGAGGAUGCAAGCGUUAUCCGGAAUGAUUGGGCGUAAAGCGUCUGUAGGUGGCUUUUCAAGUCCGCCGUCAAAUCCCAGGGCUCAACCCUGGGCAGGCGGUGGAAACUACCAAGCUGGAGUACGGUAGGGGCAGAGGGAAUUUCCGGUGUAGCGGUGAAAUGCGUUGAGAUCGGAAAGAACACCAGCGGCGAAAGCACUCUGCUGGGCCGACACUGACACUGAGGAGCGAAAGCGUGGGGAGCGAACAGGAUUAGAUACCCCAGUAGUCCCUGUCUCUUAUAA